rfam:Firmicutes bacterium CAG:272 genomic scaffold, scf87
AUAAUGAUACUUCCGUAAUUCGCGGUCGGGCCAUAAAGAAGGCGCGAGGGUGAGACUCCCAUGG